rnacentral:rRNA from 1 species
AGAGUUUGAUCCUGGCUCAGGAUGAACGCUAGCGGCAGGCCUAAUACAUGCAAGUCGAGGGAGAUUGUUGGAUUCGUCUGACAUGAAACCGGCGCACGGGUGCGUAACACGUAUGCAACCUACCUUUAACUGGGGUAUAGCUCAGAGAAAUCUGAAUUAAUCCCCCAUAAGACUACGACAUGGCAUCAUGAUGUAGUUAAAGCUCCGGCGGUUAAGGAUGGGCAUGCGGUACAUUAGCUAGUUGGUGAGGUAAUGGCUCACCAAGGCUACGAUGUAUAGGGGGUCUGAGAGGAUGAUCCCCCACACUGGUACUGAGACACGGACCAGACUCCUACGGGAGGCAGCAGUAGGGAAUAUUGGUCAAUGGACGCAAGUCUGAACCAGCCAUGCCGCGUGAAGGAUGAAGGCCCUAUGGGUCGUAAACUUCUUUUAUUAGGGAAGAAAAAAUGGGAUGCGUCCUAUACUGACGGUACUUAAUGAAUAAGGAUCGGCUAACUUCGUGCCAGCAGCCGCGGUAAGACGAAGGAUCCAAGCGUUGUCCGGAUUUACUGGGUUUAAAGGGUGCGUAGGCGGAAAAUUAAGUCAGUGGUGAAAGCCCGCAGCUCAACUGUGGAACUGCCAUUGAAACUGGUUUUCUUGAAUAUAGCUGAGGCAGAUGGAAUAUAACAUGUAGCGGUGAAAUGCUUAGAUAUGUUAUAGAACACCGAUUGCGAAGGCAGUCUGCUAAACUAUUAUUGACGCUGAGGCACGAAAGCGUGGGGAGCGAACAGGAUUAGAUACCCUGGUAGUCCACGCCCUAA